CACANCANUAAGCCAUGCAUGUCUAAGUACAAACUAUCUUAAAAGUGAAACCGCAAAAGGCUCAUUAUAUCAGUUAUGGUUUAUUAGAUCAUUAACAGUUACUUGGAUAACUGUGGUAAUUCUAGAGCUAAUACAUGCAAUAUAAACAUGAACCUUAUGGAACAUGUGCUCUUAUUAGGCUAAAACCAAGCGAUUUUUUUUAAAAAUCGUUAUAAUGGUUGAACUCUAGAUAAUUUGCCAAUCGUAUGGUCUUGUACCGACGAUAGAUCUUUUAAAUGUCUGCCCUAUCAACUAUUGAUGGUAGUAUUUAGGACUACCAUGGUUGCAACGGGUAACGGGGAAUCAGGGUUCGAUUCCGGAGAGGGAGCCUGAGAAACAGCUACCACAUCUAAGGAAGGCAGCAGGCGCGUAAAUUACCCACUCCCAGUUCGGGGAGGUAGUGACGAAAAAUAACAAUACAGGACUCAUAUCCGAGGCCCUGUAAUUGGAAUGAGUACACUUUAAAUCCUUUAACAAGGACCUAUUGGAGGGCAAGUCUGGUGCCAGCAGCCGCGGUAAUUCCAGCUCCAAUAGCGUAUAUUAAAGUUGUUGCGGUUAAAACGUUCGUAGUUGAAUUUGUGCUUCAUGCAGGUAGUACAACUAUAAUCGUAGUUUGUACAUUACCUUAUGCAUGCAAGCGUAUUAUCGGUGGAGUUCUAAUAUAUAAUAGUAAUUAUUAUUAUUAUAUAUACCUCCUAUUUGAAACCUCUUCAGUGCUCUUUAUCGAGGGUGGUGGAAGGCCGAUCCAAUUACUUUGAAC
rnacentral:rRNA from 1 species